rnacentral:rRNA from 1 species
AACGAACGCUGGCGGCGUGGAUAAGACAUGCAAGUCGAACGGGACUAAAUCUGUAGCAAUACAGGUUUAGUUUAGUGGCGAACGGGUGCGUAACACGUGGGCAAUCUGCCGAGAAGUGGGGGAUAGCUCGCCGAAAGGCGAAUUAAUACCGCAUAUGAUCAGUGAAGACAUCUUCACGACAUCAAAGCCGGGGCAACCUGGCGCUUCUUGAUGAGCCCGCGGCCUAUCAGCUAGUUGGUGAGGUAACGGCUCACCAAGGCUAUGACGGGUAGCUGGUCUGAGAGGACGACCAGUCACACUGGGAACUGAGACACGGUCCAGACACCUACGGGUGCAGCAGUC